AUUUGGGUCAAUGACGUGACGCUUGCUUUUUCUGUCCGACUGAACUUUUUACCAAUUAAUAAACAUUAAAAUUAAUAAAAUUAUAACAUGUAUGUCUACCACCUCCCUUAUACAUAUGCCCACUCUUAUUUCUCUAAAAAUAAUUGGUUUAUUGGCACUUUCUGCCACCUGAAGUGUGAAAACAUCAUGUGGGGCGACCGUCCGGCCUUGACUUCUGUUUGGACAACUGGUUUUAAAUCAAACUAAAAUAAUUUAAAUAUAAUCCUUACCCUAUUUGGCAUAAUUUUAAACUUGUUUUCCAUUGAUUGACAAAGUUAUGAAACAUUUGUACACACAUUUCAAUCAUAAUAAACAAACAAAUCUUGUCCGAAGAUGUUCAUUAUCUGAAAUAUCAUCUGGGGCGACCAUCAAGAAAAUACAAAUAAGGGACUUAUAUUCUGAUAAUCAUCUCAAAGAGGAUGUUGCAUCAGCCAGCCUCAUGUUGAGGGUCCCACAGAGACAACUAGCAGAUGGCCCCACUAACAAGCAAAGAAAAGACUGCUCGCUACAGGCAGCGGAAAAUGCUGUUCAAUGUGUCUGCAGAAUGCUGCUAUAUUCAACUGUUAAAUGAAAAUAGUAAUGAAAAUGCAAACAUUGUAUGUUUAAGUGAUUAAUGGAAUGAAAAUGAAAAAGGAAAAUGCUGUUCAAUGUUAUGUCCAAGCGUUUAAUGCAUUAGUAUUGAACAUUUUAAUAUGAUGGUUUUGUGUCAAAUGAAAUAGUGAGAAAACUGUUAAUGUUAUGAAAUGUGUCAAAUGAAAUGGAUAUGCUGAUUCUUCAUAAAAUUUCAUUAAAUAUGCUGAUUCUUCAUAAAAUUCCAUUAAAUGUGUUUUAACUAUCAAAAUCAUUGAAUAGUCUUAAUUGCCUGCUGUUUUUCAUCAUGUGGGGCGACCAUUUGUCAUGUGGGGUAACCAACUAUAUUCAAUUCUG